UACGGAGGAGGCAAGCGUUAUCCGGAAUUAUUGGGCGUAAAGCGUACGUAGAUGGUUUUGUCAGUCUGCUGUCAAAGCACAGGGCUUAACCCUGUAAAGGCAGUGGAAACUACAAGACUAGAGUGCAGUAGGGGCAGAGGGAAUUCCCAGUGUAGCGGUGAAAUGCGUAGAGAUUGGGAAGAACAUCCGUGGCGAAAGCGCUCUGCUGGACUGCAACUGACAUUGAGGGACGAAAGCGAGGGGAGCGAAUGGG
rnacentral:rRNA from 1 species